rnacentral:rRNA from 1 species
UACGGAGGGGGCUAGCGUUGCUCGGAAUCACUGGGCGUAAAGGGCGCGUAGGCGGCCAAGUAAGUUGGGGGUGAAAGCCCGUGGCUCAACCACGGAAUUGCCUUCGAUACUGCUUGGCUUGAGACCGGAAGAGGUGAGUGGAACUGCGAGUGUAGAGGUGAAAUUCGUAGAUAUUCGCAAGAACACCAGUGGCGAAGGCGGCUCACUGGUCCGGAUCUGACGCUGAGGCGCGAAAGCGUGGGGAGCAAACAGG